UACGUAGGUGGCAAGCGUUAUCCGGAAUUAUUGGGCGUAAAGCGCGCGCAGGCGGUUUCUUAAGUCUGAUGUGAAAGCCCACGGCUCAACCGUGGAGGGUCAUUGGAAACUGGGGAACUUGAGUGCAGAAGAGAAAAGCGGAAUUCCACGUGUAGCGGUGAAAUGCGUAGAGAUGUGGAGGAACACCAGUGGCGAAGGCGGCUUUUUGGUCUGUAACUGACGCUGAGGCGCGAAAGCGUGGGGAACAAACAGG
rnacentral:rRNA from 1 species